CUAUCUAAUUCUCUCCAUCAGAUUUCUGGAACAAAUGAUUAUGUUUUUUCUAUUAAUAUAGAUGAUGUUUUCAGUCUGAUUGAGAUGUUAACUAGAUGUAUAUAUACUCUGGGAACAAUUGCUUUUACAGGAAUAUAAUGAAAUCAUCUAAGCUGUUAGUCGGUCAGGCUAUCUUGGAAGACCACUGAAUAUCGAGAGUACUUUCAGAGUUUCCACUGGCUGUGCUCAUGGCUUUGGUUUCUUUUUCUUCGCUGGUCCCAGUGUUGCUGUGAUAGCCAUAUUGCCCAUUCACAUCAACUGAUGUUAAAACUAUAGUUUUACUCGCUAAAAAGUUAAAUAGUAUUUCCAGAAGCGGUGGUGGUCACGGUGGCAGAGGAGGGGGUCGCGGUGGUGGUGGUCAUGAAGACCAUGUCGGCAUGGAGAAGAAGAAGAAUGCGAGGGAUCGAAAAGAUGUAGAAUGGUUCGUCGACCAGUGACAUGGAGACGAAGGAUCACCGCUAUUCUAUUUAACUAGAGCAUGUGUCAUUCAAGUGUCAUGGAACCUUGGUAACAUUCGGAGUUGGUCCUGUGCUCAAACUCCGGUAUCCAAAAACAGAGUAGCGAUGGACAUUGCAGGUAGUGUGACAAGAGAGCACAGAUUCCAAUCUUGUAUUGCAAGGUUUGGCCCAAGUUGGCUACAACAACAUCUGCUAACUGAAGCUCUUGACUAGCAUGGUCUGAAGGGAUUAAGGGUAAAUUUCCAUUUUCAUGUCCCUUAUGCCAUUGCCUAAUUCAUUUUUAUUUAUUUUUUUUUGUAUGGAAACAGUUGAAUAUAUCAAAAGGAAUCAUUCACUGUCAAAAAAGAGCAUGCGUCAUUGGUAUCAACUAUCAACAAAUUUCAGGAUUUGAUUUUCGUAUUUUUUAUCAUAGUUAUAAGAAUAUUUGUCUCCGUUUGAGAUUUAAGAUUACACAUUUUGGUUUCAAUCUUAAAAAUCUCUGACCACAAACUCAUACCAAAACAUGGAGGAAUUUUUUUUUACCAAAUGAUACUCUCUUUUUUUCUACAAAAAUAUGCUUUGUUUUCUGUAAGUGCAAUGACUACAAUUUCAUUUUUGAGGUGUUUUACCUUUGUAUUGGUUUGUUAAUACUCCAAUGAUGGUAAACAAAAUGCUCUGGAACGGAAAAGUACAAUCCUACUAUAUAAAAGGUACUAAUUUAUAGCUCAAUUAGAGGUGCCACAUAGGAUGAAAUAUUCCCAUCCAAUCAUACCUCCACGUCAUUACGAAUUUAACAACCCUAAUAAUAAUACUAAUACUAAUCCUUUGGCCCAACACCAGCAUAACCCAAUAACGUUUAAACAAAUCUUUGAAAUUUGUUUUGAUAACAAGAUUGUCCUUCUUCUUUGGACUUCAUGGAUUCAAAUUUAUAAUGUGUCUUAAUAAUCAAUAAGACCAUUGAAUAUAGAUCCAGGGAUAUAGAUUAAAAAUGUUUAUGUUUGGAAUUAUAUACCAUGUAACACGCAUGUAUUGCAGCCACCGACGAAGCAAACAAUUGUUUUUUUAAAAGCACAAUUAUUAAAAAAUAUGUAUGAACUUUACAAUAAAUAAUACAUAUAUGAACCGGAAAAUCUAUAGUGGUAAAAAUCACUAUUUGUUUUACUAAUUCAAGUCAAUACUAUUAAGUUAGGAACAUGUCCAGUUAAUAAAGGUUGUGUCCAACUUAAAGAAAUCUAAUUACAUUUAGAAACUACAUUUAUAUUCUAUAUAUUUUGUAACCCCUGCAAAUAUAUAUUUUAAAUUAGUCUAAAAUAUGCCAACAAAUUUAACUCUUAUCUAGUGCAUAAAAAUAUAAAGAUGAUGUUGUGAGAUAAGAAUUUACACACAAAAUUUCAAAUAAAAGAAUUGACAAAUUAUAUAAUUUUUUUAAAAAUAUUUUAUAUAAUAACUUAAUAAUAUAAAUCAUAAUCAAAAAUACUAUUCGUAUCACAUUUUUAUUAACCGAAAAAACUCGUGCUUUCGAAGCGCGGAUCAAAAUGUAGACUAAUAUAGCUCCUAAUAUUUAUUUAAAAAUUAAAUUUCUCAAAAAAAAGAUUAAAGACAGCUAUCAAAUCUGUUUUAAAAAUAUAGUGGUUUGUUCUUGCACCAGAAUCUUGGUUAUGCAAUUUAAAACCUAUUAUGUUGUUUUGUUACUUUUCUCCUUAAAACAGAGACAAAGAGUAAUGAACAAAGACAAAUUAUGAACUCUUAUUAUCAGAUUAUUUGUUUCUUUUUUUUUUCUCUCGCUUCAAUUUGAUGACUGUAACUAAUUAUUUCAAUUCACACAAGACUUUCAAAUUUUAAACGUAUCACAUUAAAUAUAAAAAUCUUCAACAGAUUAUAAUACCUAAAUAUUCUUCUCGAUAGACAAUAAUAUCAGAAAGGCAAGUAGCACAUCUCCUGCCACAAUCACCGGCAUCACUGAAAGUUCAAAAAAAUCUUUUGUCUCAUCAAUACAAAUCAACAAAAUAUACUAAUAAAUUCAGUAACAUUGCAUAUUUGAUACAAACCGGUUAACAACCUCAGCUCCACAUAACAUUCACAUCAUCUUCCACUCAGAAAUUUGCAACGAGAAGAAAGACGGAGACAACUAUUACGUGUAAGUUACUCAAUCAGUGGAUUUCCACAUUUCAAGAUCUCUCUCUCUUUCGCUGACUCAUUUUCUAAUUCUUUCUUUCGUCAAAGGGUCGUUUUCCUCAACACGAUGGUCAAAUCAAACCACAAUGAUCCUCCACCUGCUGGAGGUAAAUCAAAAUUACGACUUUACUGUGCGUUUAUAGACUCCUCAAACACAUACAAACCCAAUCACCCCUCUCUGGAAUCCAAGAAAUCAUUUGUCCAAAAUCCGGACAGAACAUCUUAACUAUUAAGUGCAAAAUCAAGCGUAGAGAUAGUUUGAUUUGGUAGGUUAUACUACGAAAGUAACACAACAAAACCUUAGUAUUAAAUUCUCGAUCAAUUUAUCUGGUUUUUUAAUUCAUAAGUUUUUUUCAAGGGGUCCUUUUUCAAUAUAAUUCAUAAAAUUUCCAAUUAGUUUAUUAAUGGAAGACCUAAACACACUUUUAAAAUAUUAUUUCCAAAUUCAAAACACCAUAAUGCUAAACAAUAUCUCAAUUACGAAGUACUUUUACAUAUUUUUAAUUUUCAACACGUUAAUUUAAUUUCCAUUACUACAGAAAACCACUAUACACAACCAAAAACAUCAACUCUCCUCUACUUUUACAUCUCUAUCGAUUGACUUCCAACUUCAUUUGCAUAAAAAAAUGAACAAUCAAUCUUAAAAAACUCAAUGUCAUAUAUUCCUUCUUAUAAUUACUUUAAAUCUAUUUUAACAACAACCAGAAACAGCCACAGCUAUAGUCAUACACAAAUUUUAACUUCAUCCAAUAUCCGCGCGUAGCGCGGACACGAUCCUAGUCUAUACUAAUACCAAAAAUAUUUUGCGCACUGAUAUACUUUUGUUUACGAUGGAAUAAUAUUAUAAGAAAUAAGAGAAUGUCAUGAGAAAAACAACAUAAAAAGUAUACUCUAUACUAGGGCUUAGCAAAAUAUCCAAAAUCCGACCUAAAAAUAUCUACCGAACUCAAACGAAAAUGGUAAAAUAUUGGAAUGGUUUCGGAAUUUUUAUCCGAAAAACUGGAACUGAAUCUGACACGAAUGAAAUAUUUUAGGUACCCAAAGUUUUUUAAAUUAUAAUUAUAUAUUUAAAUAUAAUAAUUAAUUUAAAAUAUAAUAUCCAAAAUAUUUAAAAUACUCAAAAAAACUCGGAACUGUUUAAACAUUUUAAAAUGUUUAAAAGGAUUGAAGCAGUAAAAAACUAAAAACACUAAAAUAUUUAAUGGUUUCCUACUCAAAUAUUCAAACGAACUAUUUUUCAUGAUAGUUGUAUGCAUUUAGUUAUACAUAACUAUAACAUAUAUGUAUAUUACUUUUAUUUUGAAAUAUGAAGAUCUUAAAUUAUAUUUGGGUUUCAAUAAAAUAAACAUAAUUUAAAUGGGUAGCCAAGCCCAUUGAAUCGAACCCGAACAAAAACUAAUAAAUAUCAAAAUACAAUUUAAAUCUCUAGAUCCUAAAACCCAUAAUCCGAAAAGACAUUAACUGAACUCGAUCGGAUACCUGAAUAUCUACCCAUGCAUAAAAUUAAAUUUUAAAAUAUCAGAACAAUAAUUUACAUUGUUUAACUGCUCUUAAAAAUAAAUCAACAACAUAUCAUUCUUAUAGUCACGACCAUUAAGAUAUCUCUAACAAUAUUAUAAUUUUUUAAAAAAUAAAUCAGAACUUGAUAGUAAAAAAUAUGAAAACAAUUGCUUACAAAUAUAAUUUUUAAAAAGAUUAUACAAACAAUUGUAUG